AGGUUUUGGGGUUAUAUGGUCAAGUGAAUAAGCGCAUACGGUGGAUGCCUAGGCGGUAGGAGGCGAUGAAGGACGKGGWNSCUGCGAAAAGCCCCGGGGAGCUGGCAAAC
rnacentral:rRNA from 1 species